GAAAGAAAACAAGAACAAGGAAGUAUAAGCAGAUGUUCAUUUCCUUGAGCUCGAGAUCCAUGGAUCCAACCACUUGUGUUAAAAGUGAUUUUAAAAUGUGCAUCUAUGCUGAACAGAAAAACAAAUCUAGUUGAGGAGGAGGCUGCAAAGGUCCCUGCAGAGGAGCUGGUUAAUGAGUGGGAUGCUGAUUGAGGAGAUGGAAGGAGUUGGAGUUGGAUGGGUAAUUACCAGAGAGAUGAAGGAAUAUUAUUGACUUGGAAGCAGGCCUGCCAUGUGAUGUUUGGGGAAGCAACUUUUAGCACUAUACCAGAAAGUUACUCCUGGCAUCUGAGUUAUCUGAGGAAGACAAACAAGUAUGACAUGCCCCCAUGAGCCCCUGCAACUGUUGACACGCUUCUAUAAACCAACAGUUUUAGAGACAUUAAGCUUGGUGUGAAACA